UGCAAAAGAAUAAACUACGCAUAAAAUGAUUUUCAGUGGUUGUGGACUUGGUGAUAUUUAUUUCUCUCGAGAGAGGAUGAAACUCAUGUGUGAAAAAGUGGUGGACAUUUGUGUCCCAAUAAAGAGGCAGCUUGAGACGCAGUAUUUGGUGGUCUGACUACAUAUACGUUUAUUCCCUCCUUCCACUUUGCUGUCCAAAAACCCAAUAAUCUACUUUACAAUGUCAACCUUUUCAUAUCGUUUUCUCUCUCCCCCACUACUUAAGGAUCUAUGUACAUACGUGUAUCUUACAAUCUAACAUAAUGCUGCCUUUGCACUCUCUCACGCUUCUGCAUGGGUCAAGAGUCAAGCAUAAUAAAUUUUAAUGGUUGGCUGGAACUUUGUUGCUGGCUGGUCGAAACUGGACACUUUUCACCAGAUCUUGGUCUCUGGUUGAGAUGAGAUGCUGACAAUAUGCAUAAGCACUUGUUAACACGUGUCACCACCAUCAUCGAGUAUGUAUCUUCCUCACGCAUAUGUCACUUGACUUUCAAGUACUUUCACUUUCACUCAAUUUGACUUUCACUCUGGGAAAGUAUUGAUUAAUCUCACCGUUUAGAAUCCGAUCAACUCAACUGCACAGAAUCUGCUACCCGGGUUUAAAUCAGGCAAGGUGACGACGACCGAACAGGUGUCACCGGCCAUCACUCUGUACCCGAUUUGAAUAAGUUACAUAGAUCCAGCCUACAAAAUUAUUGGAAAAUAUUUCAAGUGCGCAUACAUACCUGAAUAGUGUAAAGAAAUUGUUGAAAAUGCCACGUGACCCGGACGACCACUUGACAGGGAAGGACGGCUUUUGUGUGAUUCUAUUACUUAUAAUUUGUGCCGUAGUUCUGGGCACGAUCGCCGUGUUGGAUUAUCUCGGUCGACAAGGAGACGAACUCCAUUGCACCCCUGGGAUUAAGGACUGUUGCAAAGUUUGGUGUGAAAAGAGGAAUCCGUCCGUCAUGGUGUGCAGCGGGAUUGACACGACUUUCGACGUGGCGCCACUUGCUUCGCAUAAGAGAAGCCUCGGAAUCAUGACCGUGACAUAUGAUCCCAUCAACUGCACGUGUUUCUGCCUCGGCUACAACUUCACAUGCUCCCGAAAUUUUUGCCAAUCUGAGAUCAAAAUGCAAUAAAGCGGACAGCAGGCAAAAAAGGAAUGAUUAAAAAUUCAUUAAUUCAUUAAAAUACUCAGCAGGGUAAUUAAUACAGGGUUACAUCGCGCUGAUGUAUGUAGCAGGAUUUAAGCGUCGAUAAAAUAAAGUUAACUUGUCUUAAUUAUUGAGCAUUAUUAUUACUAAAAUAAAUAUGUACGUGAGUUAGCCGAAUUAUGUAAACAGUACCCCGUGAGGAUUAUUGGUAAAUAAAUUUAUUAAAUUGGUAGGGUUUUAAUUUAUGAAAUA